ensembl:misc_RNA 7SK 7SK RNA
GGAUGUGAAGGUGAUCUGGCUGUGCUGUCACCCCAUUGAUCACCGGGGUGGCUUCCCCUGAUCUGGCUGGCUGGGGCUCCCUUCCUCCCUACGGCUCCACGUACCUCCGUCCCAAAGUUGCGUGCUCUGGUCAGAGGACGACCUUCCCAGAUAGAGGAGGGCCCUUCUCAACUCAAGCGUGUAUGUAGAGCAGCUGCGCUCCCCUGCUAGAACCUCCAGGCAAGCUCUCAAGGUCCAUUCUUAGGAGCGUGUAGGGUAGUGAAGCUUCAAGACUCCAGAUGUAUCCAAGUGACGUGCUGCAUGCAUCAAUCUGCCUUUCUUU